rnacentral:snoRNA from 1 species
AUGCACGAAAAUCCUACCCCACUUGCCAUUUCCCCUGUUCAAAAUAAGUUUGUUUUUUGACUAUACCUGUCUGCUAUACCCCUGUAGCAGCCAGGGACACUUGGUCUCAUACAU